rnacentral:rRNA from 1 species
GGACAACCUGCCCUCGGGUGGGGGAUAACCCCGGGAAACUGGGGCUAAUCCCCCAUAGGGGAUGGGUACUGGAAUGUCUCAUCUCCGAAAGCGCUUAGCGCCCGAGGAUGGGUCUGCGGCGGAUUAGGUUGUUGGUGGGGUAACGGCCCACCAAGCCGAAGAUCCGUACGGGCCAUGAGAGUGGGAGCAGGAGCCCGGAGAUGGACCCUGAGACACGGGUCCAGGCCCUACGGGGCGCAGCAGGCGCGAAACCUCCGCAAUGCGGGAAACCGCGACGGGGUCAGCCGGAGUGCUCGCGCAUCGCGCGGGCUGUCGGGGUGCCUAAAAAGCACCCCAUAGCAAGGGCCGGGCAAGGCCGGUGGCAGCCGCCGCGGUAAUACCGGCGGCCCGAGUGGCGGCCACUUUUAUUGGGCCUAAAGCGUCCGUAGCCGGGCUGGUAAGUCCUCCGGGAAAUCUGGUCGCUUAACGAUCAGACUGCCGGAGGAUACUGCCAGCCUAGGGACCGGGAGAGGCCGGGGGUAUUCCCGGGGUAGGGGUGAAAUCCUGUAAUCCCGGGAGGACCACCUGUGGCGAAGGCGCCCGGCUGGAACGGGUCCGACGGUGAGGGACGAAGGCCAGGGGAGCGAACCGGAUUAGAUACCCGGGUAGUCCUGGCUGUAAACGAUGCGGACUAGGUGUCACCGAAGCUACGAGCUUCGGUGGUGCCGGAGGGAAGCCGUUAAGUCCGCCGCCUGGGGAGUACGGCCGCAAGGCUGAAACUUAA